CUUCUAGACACAGUGUGGGCUUUGCUCCAGAGGAAGCAGCCCUGCCCUCUUGUCAGCUCUCCAUUUUCACGUCGCCAGAGUAGCAGGGAAGGAGGCUCCCGGAAACUUCCCUCUGCUCUGCGUUCCUCCCAGGAGCCCAGGAGAAAGACCGAAUGAAAAGCAUCCUUCAAACAAGCCCGGGAAGGAAAGCCAAGUCCUCCCUGUGGGGUCCCUGGGAGCAGCCUCUGGAAGGCUCUUGAAGGGAGAGAAGAGAGUGAAGUCAAGGCAUUAAUUUUCCUGGACCGUUUCUUGUGAAGGUGGAAGAAGAAUUCUGAAAGGACAUCGAUUUCCCGCGAAGGCAGAGGCGACUGUGAACUGUCACCACACGAAAGUGACGAUUUCUGGCUAAAAGCAGCCAACCGAAUGGGUACAAAACCACCCUAACACCAUCAAAGGCCGACCCAGGCAGUGGUGACCAAGGCUUCAAACACACUGAGGAUGCUUUGUGAUGCUCAACAGAUUCUCACUGAUUGACUGGGAGGUGGAUUUGGAAUGAAGUGAUCGGGGGACUUUCUGUUUGUAUGACCUCUUUGAGCCCUGGUGUUCUUCUCUAUAAAAGGCGAUGGCAUUACCUGCCUUAAGAGCUGCUGUGACAACAAAAAGCCCACGUACGAAUGAGCUGUGCAAAAAUUUACACACUGUGAUUCAUGCGCAUUAUUGGCUGGUUUUGGCGGUGGCUGUAGACGUGUUAGGCUGUUAUUAUUCACUGCUGUGACUGAGGACGGUUUGAAAUAAAAUAGCUCAUCGUU